rnacentral:rRNA from 1 species
UACGAGGGGGGCGAGCGUUGUUCGGAAUUAUUGGGCGUAAAGGGUGCGUAGGUGGCGCGGUAAGUCGGGUGUGAAAUUUCGGAGCUUAACUCCGAAACUGCAUUCGAUACUGCCGUGCUCGAGGACUGGAGAGGAGACUGGAAUUUACGGUGUAGCAGUGAAAUGCGUAGAUAUCGUAAGGAAGACCAGUGGCGAAGGCGGGUCUCUGGACAGUUCCUGACACUGAGGCACGAAGGCCAGGGGAGCAAACGGG